GUUCCCUACGGGAGGCAGCAGUGAGGAAUAUUGGUCAAUGGCCGAGAGGCUGAACCAGCCAAGUCGCGUGAGGGAUGACGGCCCUACGGGUUGUAAACCCCUUUUGUCGGGGAGCAAGACCCGCCUCGUGCAGGCGGAGCGAGAGUACCCGAAGAAAAAGCAUCGGCUAACUCCGUGCCAGCAGCCGCGGUAAUACGGAGGAUGCGAGCGUUAUCCGGAUUUAUUGGGUUUAAAGGGUGCGUAGGCGGGACCUUAAGUCAGCGGUAAAAUUGCGGUGCUCAACGCCGUAGAGCCGUUGAAACUGG
rnacentral:rRNA from 1 species